CACGUAGGAGGCAAACGUUAUCCGGAUUUACUGGGCGUAAAGCGCGUGUAGGUGGUUCUGUAAGUAGGGCGUGAAAGCUCCUGGCUCAACUGGGAGAGGCCGUUCUAAACUGCAGAGCUAGAGGAUGGUAGAGGGAGGUGGAAUUCCAGGUGUAGCGGUGGAAUGCGCAGAUAUCUGGAGGAACACCAGUGGCGAAGGCGGCCUCCUGGACCAUUCCUGACACUCAGACGCGAAAGCUAGGGUAGCAAACGGGAUUAGAUACCCCUGUA
rnacentral:rRNA from 1 species